UGGGGAAUUGUUCGCAAUGGGCGCAAGCCUGACGCAGCGACGCCGCGUGGGGGAUGACGGCCUUCGGGUUGUAAACCUCUUUCAGCAGGGAAAAAGCGAAAGUGACGGUACCUGCAGAAGAAGCACCGGCUAACUACGUGCCAGCAGCCGCGGUAAUACGUAGGGUGCGAGCGUUGUCCGGAAUUAUUGGGCGUAAAGAGCUUGUAGGCGGUUUGUCGCGUCUGCCGUGAAAAUUCGAGGCUCAACCUCGAACUUGCGGUGGGUACGGGCAGACUAGAGUGUGGUAGGGGAGACUGGAAUUCCUGGUGUAGCGGUGAAAUGCGCAGAUAUCAGGAGGAACACCGAUGGCGAAGGCAGGUCUCUGGGCCACUACUGACGCUGAGAAGCGAAAGCAUGGGGAGCGAA
rnacentral:rRNA from 1 species